rnacentral:rRNA from 1 species
CACAAGCAGCGGAGCGUGUGGUUUAAUUCGUUGCUACACGAAGAACCUUACCUGGGUUUGACAUAUAGGUUGUAGGGAACUGAAAAGGGACGACCCUUCGGGAGCCUAUACAGGUGUUGCAUGGCUGUCGUCAGCUCGUGUCGUGAGAUGUUCGGUUAAGUCCGCUAACGAGCGCAACCCUCACUGUGUGUUAUAUGUGUCACACGGGACCGCCGGUCUUAAGCCGGAGGAAGGUGGGAUGACGUCAAGUCAGCAUGGCCUUUAUAUCCUGGGCUACACGCACGCUACAAUGGCCAACACAAUAGGUUGCUAAGCCGCGAGGUGGAGCCAAUCCAUAAAGUUGGUCUCAGUUCAGAUUGUAGGCUGCAACCCGCCUGCAUGAAGAUGGAGUUGCUAGUAACCGCAGGUCAGCUAUACUGCGGUGAAUACGUUCCCGGGGCUU